UGGGGAAUUUUGGACAAUGGGCGAAAGCCUGAUCCAGCAAUGCCGCGUGUGUGAAGAAGGCCUUCGGGUUGUAAAGCACUUUUGUCCGGAAAGAAAUCCUUGGCUCCAAUACAGUCGGGGGAUGACGGUACCGGAAGAAUAAGCACCGGCUAACUACGUGCCAGCAGCCGCGGUAAUACGUAGGGUGCAAGCGUUAAUCGGAAUUACUGGGCGUAAAGCGUGCGCAGGCGGUUUGCUAAGACCGAUGUGAAAUCCCCGGGCUCAACCUGGGAACUGCAUUGGUGACUGGCAGGCUAGAGUAUGGCAGAGGGGGGUAGAAUUCCACGUGUAGCAGUGAAAUGCGUAGAGAUGUGGAGGAAUACCGAUGGCGAAGGCAGCCCCCUGGGUCAAUACUGACGCUCAUGCACGAAAGCGUGGGGAGCAAACAGGAUUAGAUACCCUGGUAGUCCACGCCCUAAAACGAUGUCAACUAGUUGUUGGGGAUUCAUUUCCUUAGUAACGUAGCUAACGCGUGAAGUUGACCGCCUGGGGAGUACGGUCGCAAGAUU
rnacentral:rRNA from 1 species